rnacentral:rRNA from 1 species
GACGAACGCUGGCGGCGUGCCUAAUACAUGCAAGUCGAGCGAAUCAAUGGGAGCUUGCUCCCUGAGAUUAGCGGCGGACGGGUGAGUAACGCGUGGGUAACCUGCCUGUAAGACUGGGAUAACUUCGGGAAACCGGAGCUAAUACCGGAUACGUUCUUUUCUCGCAUGAGAAGAGAUGGAAAGAUGGUUCUGCUAUCAAUUACAGAUGGACCCGCGGCGCAUUAGCUAGUUGGUGAGGUAACGGCUCACCAAGGCGACGAUGCGUAGCCGACCUGAGAGGGUGAUCGGCCACACUGGGACUGAGACACGGCCCAGACUCCUACGGGAGGCAGCAGUAGGGAAUCUUCCGCAAUGGACGAAAGUCUGACGGAGCAACGCCGCGUGAGCGAAGAAGGCCUUCGGGUCGUAAAGCUCUGUUGUUAGGGAAGAACAAGUACGAGAGUAACUGCUCGUACCUUGACGGUACCUAACCAGAAAGCCACGGCUAACUACGUGCCAGCCGCCGCCGUAA